GGCGUGCCUAAUACAUGCAAGUCGAGCGAAUGGAUUAAGAGCUUGCUCUUAUGAAGUUAGCGGCGGACGGGUGAGUAACACGUGGGUAACCUGCCCAUAAGACUGGGAUAACUCCGGGAAACCGGGGCUAAUACCGGAUAACAUUUUGAACCGCAUGGUUCGAAAUUGAAAGGCGGCUUCGGCUGUCACUUAUGGAUGGACCCGCGUCGCAUUAGCUAGUUGGUGAGGUAACGGCUCACCAAGGCAACGAUGCGUAGCCGACCUGAGAGGGUGAUCGGCCACACUGGGACUGAGACACGGCCCAGACUCCUACGGGAGGCAGCAGUAGGGAAUCUUCCGCAAUGGACGAAAGUCUGACGGAGCAACGCCGCGUGAGUGAUGAAGGCUUUCGGGUCGUAAAACUCUGUUGUUAGGGAAGAACAAGUGCUAGUUGAAUAAGCUGGCACCUUGACGGUACCUAACCAGAAAGCCACGGCUAACUACGUGCCAGCA
rnacentral:rRNA from 1 species